ensembl:lncRNA
UGUGAGUGUGUUUGUUAGAGAGAGUGUGUGUGAAUGUGUGUGUGUGUGUGUGUGUGGUCCUAGGCCCUGAGCAGUAUUGUGUUUACCCUGGCAUGAAAGGCAGGAGAGAGGAGGAGAGAGGAGUAGAGAGGAGGAGAGAGAGAGAGGAGGAGAGAGAGAGAGAGAGGAGGGGAUUGAUGGAGUUAGUGGAUGGAUGAGACAUGAGAGAGGAGGAGAGGAGGGAGUGAACCCCAUGGAGAGAAGGAGAGGUGUGGAGAAGAGGAUUGAUGGAGUGAGAGAAGCAGGCAUGAGAGAGGUGGAGAAAGGAGAAGGAGUAGAGAGGAGAAUGAGUAGAGAGGAGGAGGAGAGGAGGAGAAGAGGGGUAGAGAGGAGGAGAGGGGUAGAGAGGAGUAUAGAGAAGAGAGGGGUAGCAACUGUAAUUGUUCUACCAAAGAAUGUUGUUCUUGGUGUAGGUUGGGGUGAACCCCAGUUUGAUGGACAGAGACGUAAGGAGAGACGUAGAGAGAGACAAGGAUGAGACCAGUAGAGAGACAAGGAUGAGACCGAUAUGGGCAUCAGUGAGACCAGAAGAGAGACAAGGAUGAGACCGAUAUGAGACCAGUAGAGAGACAAGAGACAAGGAUGAGAACGAUAUGGGCAUCAGGGAGACCAGAUGAGAGACAAGGAUGAGACCGAUAUGGGCAUCAGUGAGACCAGAAGAGAGACCAGUAGAGAGACAUGGAUGAUACCGAUAUGGGCAUCAGUGAGACCAGAAGAGAGACCAGUAGAGAGACAUGGAUGAGACCGAUAUGGGCAUCAGUGAGACCAGAAGAGAGACAAGGAUGAGACCGAUAUGGGCAUCAGUGAGACCAGUAGAGAGACACGUGGAUGAGACCGAUAUGGGCAUCAGUGAGACCAGUAGAGAGACGUGGAUGAGACCGAUAUGGGCAUGAGAGAGACCAGUAGAGAGACAAGGAUGAGAGACGAGGAUGAGACCGAUAUGGGCAUCAGGGAGACCAGAAGAGAGACCAAUAGAGAGACAUGGAUGAGACCGAUAUGGGCAUCAGUGAGACCAGAAGAGAGACAAGGAUGAGACCGAUAUGGGCAUCAGCGAGACCAGUAGAGAGACAAGGGGCUUCAAGAGGCAUGAGUUGUAGACAUGCUUGAUGUCAGUGAGGCAUGAGUGAGAACUGUAG